AAACCGAUCUUAACAAACAAAUUAAACAUUUUAACACCAUUUUCUAAUUGUAAACAUUCUAACUUGUCUCUAUCACACACAUAUCUACCUUUUUCUAUCUUUACGUGGACCUUUAUGUUUAUUUUUUUUUCGACCUUAUUGUUCAUCUCGUUUAUAUGUUAUACAAGAUAUUUCAAACAGUGGUCAUCUUAUAGGAAACAAGCAUUGUUUUUAAAAGUGGAAAAGGACACUAAUUUAUUUUAACUUGCUUUUUUCUGAAUGCAAAGCCAUUUAGGUUCCAUUUAUCAAUAAUUUACUAAUAUCUUUCUGUCAUUUACAUUUCUCUCUAAAAUCUUUAAACGACAUGCAUCAACACUUUUCCAACAUUCCACAAAAGAAAAGAUUGAAAAAUAGUAUCAUGAAGAAGAAAACUUUUAUUAUUUUCUAAAAAAAUAAUGACGAGUGUCAUUGCUUAUUUGGGUUCUAGUGUGCACGUAUAUAUUGCUUAAGGUAUUUUGUAGAUAAAUUUAAGUUAUUUUGGUUAGUUUCCGUGUUUUGUUAUCCAAAGAAAUUAAAUUUUUAAAGAACGCUUCA